GAUGAACGCUAGCGGCAGGCUUAAUACAUGCAAGUCGAGGGGCAGCAUGAUUGUAGCAAUACAAUUGAUGGCGACCGGCAAACGGGUGCGGAACACGUACACAACCUUCCAACAAGUGGGGGAUAGCCCAGAGAAAUUUGGAUUAAUACCCCGUAACAUAGCGAUGUGGCAUCACAUUGCUAUUAUAGAUUUUUCGCUUGUUGAUGGGUGUGCGGCUGAUUAGAUAGUUGGCGGGGUAACGGCCCACCAAGUCUACGAUCAGUAGCUGAUGUGAGAGCAUGAUCAGCCCAACGGGCACUGAGACACGGGCCCGACUCCUACGGGAGGCAGCAGUAAGGAAUAUUGGACAAUGGACGCAAGUCUGAUCCAGCCAUGCCGCGUGAAGGAUUAAGGUCCUCUGGAUUGUAAACUUCUUUUAUAAGGGACGAAAAAAGGCUUUUCUAAGUCGUCUGACGGUACCUUAUGAAUAAGCACCGGCUAACUCCGUGCCAGCAGCCGCCGUAAUAC
rnacentral:rRNA from 1 species